rnacentral:rRNA from 1 species
GACGCUGGCGGCGUGCCUAAUACAUGCAAGUCGAACGCUCUUUCUCCCGAGUGCUUGCACUCAAUUGGAAAGAGGAGUGGCGGACGGGUGAGUAACACGUGGGUAACCUACCCAUCAGAGGGGGAUAACACUUGGAAACAGGUGCUAAUACCGCAUAACAGUUUAUGCCGCAUGGCAUAAGAGUGAAAGGCGCUUUCGGGUGUCGCUGAUGGAUGGACCCGCGGUGCAUUAGCUAGUUGGUGAGGUAACGGCUCACCAAGGCCACGAUGCAUAGCCGACCUGAGAGGGUGAUCGGCCACACUGGGACUGAGACACGGCCCAGACUCCUACGGGAGGCAGCAGUAGGGAAUCUUCGGCAAUGGACGAAAGUCUGACCGAGCAACGCCGCGUGAGUGAAGAAGGUUUUCGGAUCGUAAAACUCUGUUGUUAGAGAAGAACAAGGACGUUAGUAACUGAACGUCCCCUGACGGUAUCUAACCAGAAAGCCACGGCUAACCACGUG